CAAACGCGUAGGACGUUGAAGGGUGUAGGUAAGUCCGCACCCCGAGUCCGAAACGUGAUGGCGGUGCCUUAGAGCCACAAGUGAUUGAGCCAUGCCGCCUAGAAAAGCUUCUAAGCGUCGAGAUUUGAGUGACCGUACCGCAAACCGACACUGGUAGGUGGGUAGAAUAUACCAAGGGGAGCGAGAGAACCCUCGUUAAGGAAUUAGGCAAAUUUCCCCCGUACGUUCGCAAUAAGGGGGGCCUCUGGUGGUGAGCUUAGGCAGAGCCGCUGGAGGCCGCAGUGAAAUGGCUCUUCCAACUGUUUAACAAAAACACAGGUCUCUGCUAAGUCGAAAGACGAAGUAUAGGGGCUGACGCCUGCCCAGUGCUGGAAGGUUAAGGGGAGAGGUUAGGGGUAACCCGAAGCUUUGAGCCGAAGCCCCAGUGAACGGCGGCCGUAACUAUAACGGUCCUAAGGUAGCGAAAUUCCUUGUCGGGUAAGUUCCGACCGCACGAAUGGCGUAAUGAGAGGAGCACUGUCUCAACGAGGGACUCGGCGAACAUUGAAGGACGUGUGAAGAUACACG
rnacentral:rRNA from 1 species